rnacentral:tRNA from 1 species
GUCGCGGUAGUUUAAUAAAAAUUAAAGUUUGUGGAGCUUUAGAUAGACUGGUUCUCUACGACA